rnacentral:tRNA from 1 species
UCCCUGGUGGCUCAGCUGGUAAAGAAUCUGCCUGCAAUGCAGGAAACCUGGGUUCAAUCCCUGGGUUGGGAA